UUGUUUGGUCACCUUUGCUGGUAUGAAUGAAGCUUAAGAAAAGCUGUCUUUGGAUUGCUACUAAUAGUCAUCUUCAUCAUGCCUGCUCUCCCUCUCUCUCUCCCUCUCCCUCGCCCUCUCUCUCUCUCUCUCUCUCUCUCUUUCUCGGUUCCCUUAUGAAAUAAAGGCACACAGGUAAUAAACAAAGCACUAUAAAAGAUCAGAUUGACGUGUUCUGUGGCUCAUUCAAUGUCAGGAGCAAGCCUCCUGCGCUCCGCUGCUAGUGCUUGCGGCACCAAAAGCUGGGCCAGGACCGAGGGAUGGUGGUGGGAUGAGGCUAGACCCCCUUCACCCAUCCUGGAACCUUGCUGAAUUCAUCAGGGCCACGGCCUGGGUCCGCUAACCCACACCUGACGCCCGAGGGACAAAGGACAAGAUGGCAGGGUAGAGACCCUUGGAUUUGCUCCUUUUGGAUUUUUGGAUUCGGACCUGACUUUCUUUGUCAAUCCUCAUGCCCGAUCCAGUGGUCAAAGAAGGAGGAGACUCAACAGCUGUUUCUUUCUCCCUUCAUUUUUCCAACAAAGAAGCUUCAUGAGAACAUUAACACCGAAAGAAAAUUGUGUUCACUGCAGGACUUUUCAAGGAUCGGUGGAAAGAUUUAUAAGCUGCAGACUGCGCUCAGCAAGACCUCACCAAAUGGAGGAAAAUUAAAGAGAGAAAUGGUCCAUGGUGUAUUCUUAACCGCCAUAAAUUGGCGUCAUUUUGGCCACCAUCCAGGAGAGAGACACCAGCCUACAGAAACAGAGAAAGAAGAUCAGAAGCCGAUGGAAGGAAGGGAGAUGCGACUUCGCUGGGGAAGAGAGGACUAUCCUCUGCUCCCAUCGCUCACUCACUGA
rnacentral:lncRNA from 12 species